rnacentral:rRNA from 1 species
UACGUAGGGUGCGAGCGUUAAUCGGAAUUACUGGGCGUAAAGUGUGCGCAGGCGGCAGAGCAAGUCGAGUGUGAAAGCCCCGGGCUUAACCUGGGAACUGCAUUCGAGACUGCAUUGCUAGAGUAUGGGAGAGGGAAGUGGAAUUUCAGGUGUAGCGGUGAAAUGCGUAGAUAUCUGAAGGAACAUCAGUGGCGAAAGCGACUUCCUGGACCAAUACUGACGCUCAUGUGCGAAAGCGUGGGGAGCAAACAGG